CAUGUCAGUAAUGAGCAGUAAUCACCAUCUUUCCUUUGCAUCUCAUGACAAUUAGACCAACCAAUCCACCACUCUAAGACCUG
ensembl:snoRNA SNORD33 Small nucleolar RNA Z195/SNORD33/SNORD32 family